GACUGAGGCAGCCAGUCAGACUUCACCAAAUAUGACUGACAAAAAAAAAAAAAAAAAAAUCACCCUCGCCCUGUUUUUUCGACUCAGAGCUUUUCCCCUUACCGUCUGCCACUCUCCUUCUCUCCACCGGUACCGGGAGGGACAAUCAGCGACCCGGCAGCUCUGGCUGGACGCCGGUCUGGACCGCUGAGAACAGCCGCUCUCCUGCACGCUCCGUCGGCCUCCGACCUGGCAGGACACGUCCCGGCGCUGGACACCGUCUCCACACGAUGCUGAACACUGAAAGCAAAGCAGAAGAAUUUCAAGAUGGAGCUUGGGAAAGCCGUGGUUUUGUGAAACUGUGUAGGCUUCAGCAGAAGUGUUUUUAAUAAAAGUUUGUGUUUUCUGCUGCAGCUAAUGAAGAACACAUUUCUACAAAAAAAAAAAGAGAAUAAGAGUGGGAUAAAGAAUCUGUUUUUUUCUUUUGCCAAAUAUGUUCAGCCCCUGACCUUAAUAACUCAAACACUUCAAUGAUUUGCUCAAAGUAUACUUUGUCAUUUUUUUUAAAUGUAUAAAAAAACUUUUGGAGUUUUUAACUCAUAGUAACUGGA